GUGUGUUAAAGAUGGGGGAUUAUUUCAGCUGAUGACAGACAUUUAAUAUCACUACACGCCUCCGGAAGGUUUUCCUCCGCUGUCAGCUCUAACGGACAGAGAGGGUGUUAACUAGAACUGUAUAGAAAGUCAGAUGGAGUAUUGCAACAGAAAUAACUCAAUAACACGUGAAAUCCCAUCCGCAAGGCCGCGGGGUGUAUAAUCUAGAACAUUAAUUUAUCACUAUAUAAACAGUCGAUGACGGGAGAGUAUUUCAGCAGACGACAGCAAACCACAGCAGACCUCUGACACGUCAUUACCAAGGAAAGGAAAGCAGAGCCGACUCUGACACGUUACAACACAGGACAGGACAACAUACCUCUGACACGUUAUCAAUACAUAAAUAAACGAGACAACUUUGUCAUGGAGAUUCGAAAGAUCGCUGAUGCCGGUGGAGACGUCAUGAUCUAUAAGUUCUAUGAUGGCGUUUAUUUCCCGGUAAAAGUUCCGGGAGAUGCAAAAGAGCACAUUGAGUCUGUUAUAGACAUGAAGUACAAAAAAGGAGAUGUACUACUUGCAACUUAUCCGAAGUCUGGGACGCACUGGACAUAUGAAAUAUUAUCUAUGUUGCUAAACGGGAAAGCAGAAUACUGCCAGAAACACCCGUUAUCCUUCGAUCAUGACACUCAAGAGGAACACGACAAAUUGGAAUCGCCUCGUCUGCUUGUUACACAUUUCUACCCAAAACACCUACCCCGGGAUUUCCUAGAAAACAGGGGCAAGAUCUUCUACGUUUAUCGGAAUCCCAAAGACACAGCUGUGUCAUUUUACGCUUUUAUUAAGCGUCUGAAUAUGCAAGGACACCUCUACAAUGGAAAAUGGCAGAACUUUAUAGAACUUUACAUGCAGGGCAAAGUGGCUUACAAUUCUUGGUGUGAGCAUGUCAGUGCUUGGGUUGACUUCCAGAAGAGGAACCCUGACUAUCCUCUACUGCUCAUCUCGUACGAGGACAUGAAGAAGGACCUGAGACGCAGCGUACAGUCGAUUGCUGAACAUUUAGGUACGGGAGCGGACCCUGCCUUAUUAGACGACAUUGCAAGUAAAUGCGAAUUCAAAGAGAUGUUCAAAGAGAAAACGGCGAACACAACAGAGACGGAAAAACAGAUGACCUUGGACGGAAGCAACCCAUUUUACAGAAAAGGCGACGUUGGUGAUUGGAAGAAUUGGUUCACAGAAGCACAGAACGAACAAUUCGACAUGACGGUUAAGAAGGACGUGGAGGACAUAGACCUACCCGUUGUGUAUACAUUAAAGUGAAAACAACAUCGUAUGAAAGAAGGGCGAACGCUAAUGAGUUUACAGUGCGAGAUCACUGUGUUACAAGCACCUCUCGUGGUCACUAGCCAUACCUCACGUGGUCACUAGCCAUGUGAAUCACUAUUACGGCGUGCACAUUAAGUAGAUAGUUUAGUCUGACACGGUGAGUGUUUGCGUCCCGUAUUAUAUGUAAUGUAAACAUGGUUUAAGGAUGUCAUGUGUACUGGUAGUGACCUUUGGUAAUCCUAAAAUAUACGAAUGAGGCAACUGCUAAAAAUGUGUAGUGCGACGACAAAAACCAAACAAAGUUAAUUACGGUAGUUAUUGCACCAUAUGGUCGGCUCGUCCCUACAGGACUCGUUUGUGAUAGAUACGUACAGAGACAGGAGAAAGGUGGGCUCCAAACCCUUUGUAACGUUACAACAGGUAACUAUCGAUACAGCAGACACUAUAACCUUAAACUUCUGCAAUAUUCUUUAUGUCAACUGUGAAAGAAUAAAUUCCAAGGAUCAACGUUUUAUUUUUUAUAGCAAUUAUGAAAUAUAUAUGUAUAUUUAUACUUAUAUUCAUCAUUCUUGUUUGCCUUGUUGCCAGGUGACCCCAUACCUUUUCACGUCCGAUCGGUUAAUUGAACCCCGGCCGUCUUGUUGAAUUAUAAAUGAAUCUUUUUUUCUUUUUUUUUUAUCUCAUAUUUGUUUGUUAUCCUUUACAUAAGGCGUCAGGGGCUGGGGUUCCUGUGGUUCAGCACAGUGCAAAAUUAAAUAUAACAAGAUAAAAAUCAAAUAUAUCACAGGUCCGUAGAUUAAUAAGUUGACAUUGCAGUUACACAAAAUAAGUAAAAAAUCUCAUCCAAAAGCAUAAGUUAUCUACUGCGCCCCCUGACCACCCUGUGUUCUGAAAGUUGAAAUGUAUCAAACGGUUGUAAAACGUCUAACUUCAGUAAUUCUAGUAUUCUUGAGACCGCUACUGCUUUCUAACAUCAAAACUCAGUUUAACUUAGACGGUGUCAUCUCUAGCAGCCUCUGUGUGAGGUGUAGACGGUGUCAUCUCUAGCAGCCUCGGUGUGAGGUGUAGACGGUGUCAUCACUAGCAGCCUCUGUGUGAGAUGAGACGGUGUCAUCUCUAGCAGCCUCUGUGUGAGGUGUAGACGGUGUCAUCACAAGCAGCCUCUAUGUGAGGUGUAGACGGUGUCAUCUCUAGCAUCCUCUGUGUGAGGUGUAGACGGUGUCAUCACUAGCAGCCUCUGUGUGAGGUGUAGCCGGUGUCAUCUCUAGCAGCCUCUGUGUGAGGAGUAGACGGUGUCAUCACUAGCAGCCUCUGUGUGAGGUGAUGCUAAUACAACUAAGUAUUUACCAUCGUUUUAGCGGAAUGGGUGUGAUAGCUCCGAUUCUCAGGUCAGUCCGGUGUAAUUAUAUAAGAUUUUAUCGUUACGUUUAUUAUAUGGUAAAUAACGUUUGCAAUUUUGAAAAGUGGUUUUAUAAGUAAAUAAUGAUUACAGUUGAUGGAGAAAGAAGUAUGUAGACACCAUGGUUGUACUAAACUUAAUAGGAGUGUUCCCACCAAUACCAUACAGAGCUGUAAAUAAAACAAAUGGACAUUUUCAAGUAUUACGCUUGUAGUGAAUAAAUA